rnacentral:rRNA from 1 species
AGUGAACGCUGGCGGUAGGCCUAACACAUGCAAGUCGAACGGCAGCACAGUAAGAGCUUGCUCUUACGGGUGGCGAGUGGCGGACGGGUGAGGAAUACAUCGGAAUCUACUUUUUCGUGGGGGAUAACGUAGGGAAACUUACGCUAAUACCGCAUACGACCUACGGGUGAAAGCAGGGGAUCUUCGGACCUUGCGCGAUUGAAUGAGCCGAUGUCGGAUUAGCUAGUUGGCGGGGUAAAGGCCCACCAAGGCGACGAUCCGUAGCUGGUCUGAGAGGAUGAUCAGCCCCCCUGGGACUGGGGCACGGUCCCGACUCCUACGGGAGGCAGCCGUGGGGAAUAUUGGACAAUGGGCGCAAGCCUGAUCCAGCCAUACCGCGUGGGUGAAGAAGGCCUUCGGGUUGUUAAGCCCUUUUGUUGGGAAAGAAAAGCAGCAGGUUAAUACCCCGCUGUUCUGACGGUACCCAAAGAAUAAGCACCGGCUAACUUCGUG